rnacentral:lncRNA from 1 species
AAAUUGAAUUAUUCAUUGGGAAAUGAUUAAUGUAGGUUCGGCCAAGACAAAGUGUAUACAUGAUAGUAUAUGUGAUAUGUGAAGUAUAUUUGGAUAAUUAUGAUGUGAAUGUAUAUAUAUGUGAUAAGGCCUAAUGGCCGAUGUGAUGAAUGUGAAAGUGUAUAUAUGUGAUAAGGCCUAAUGGCCGAUGUGAUGAAUGUGA